rnacentral:rRNA from 1 species
AUUGAACGCUGGCGGCAGGCCUAACACAUGCAAGUCGAGCGAGCGGCGGAUGGGUGAGUAAUGUAUGGGGACUGCCCGAUAGAGGGGGAUAACUACUGGAAACGGUGGCUAAUACCGCAUACUGUCGGAUAACCCAUAUGGGAUUAGCUUGUAGGUAAGGUAAUGGCUUACCUAGGCGGCGAUCCCUAGCUGGUCUGAGAGGAUGAUCAGCCACACUGGGAAGGGGACGCGGAGCAGACUCCAAGGGAGGCAGCGGUGGGGAAUAUUGCACAAUGGGCGGAAGCGUAAUGCGGCCAUGCCGCGUGUAUGAAGAAGACCAUAGGGUUGUAGAGUACUUUCAGUCGGGGGGCGUUACCGACAGAAGAAGCACCGGCUAACUCCGUGCCAGCAGCCGCGGUAAUUC